GAGCAAAGCUGCAGGAAGCACACAGCUGGAGGCAGGUAGAGCUGUAAAGAGUGGUUUCGGGCAUGGAGGUCUCUCAUUCUUGCCAUCAAUCCAAUGCCAGCUGUAGCCCUUUGGGUAAUGAUGAGGGAAACCACUAAACCUUUCUUAAGGAAGGGGUUCAGAUCUGCCAGGAGGGGACAUCGAUGACACCUUGGUGCCAAAGCCAUCGCCUGCAAAUGCCAGGUCCUGUGGGCAGGACUUGGGCAGGAACAGCAGGAGCUGAAGGGAAGGAGGAGAGAGUGGAGGCAGCAAACGUGACAGAGCCUAGAUGUUGCCAUGGAGAGUAGCUCAUGAAUUUUUCCUCCAUGGCCUGCUAUUAAAAAUGUUUUGUUUAGCUUCUGCCAGCACAUUGUUUUUAUUUUCCCCUCCCAUGUCCGAAGGACAUCCAGAGGGAAUUCUGGCUCACUCCAUUCCCUUUGGCCUCGCUGUAUACAAAAAUAUACAGUCACUUGACAAGGGAGAGCUGGCACCUGCAAUCCUUGUCUCCACAGGGUUUGUUCCAGAUCCUGAGCCUGCAGAAGGCAGGCUGUGGAUGGGAGUAGCUCUCUGGUUCCCCAACACAUGUGGAAAACAUCCCAAAGCACUGUGUGCCCAUGGCUGAUCCCAGCUGUCUCAGCACCUGGGUAGCUCCAGCACUGAGCUCUGCAUCUGUUUGUUAUUAGGAGGUUUGUGUCGUGCGGUCAAAACACACUUGACAGUGUUUGUGUAACUUCUACAGAAGACAGCCCACGUGCAAGUAAGACAGCAGUGCCUUUGCAUCAAAAAUGAGAUUUUUCCUUGUAUUUAAUGCUCUAGAAAAAGUUAACUCUUCUAAAAAUGCCGAGUUUUUUAAUGAAAACUUCAAAACUUGACUGCAACAAACUUUCACAGACUUCCAAGGCUAAAAAUACGCAGCAAAAAUCUUAAAUUACAUGGAAGGGGGGCCUGCAUGGAGGUGAAGUGACUUACUAAAGCUUUAAUUAUACACGGACCCAUCAAAAUUAUUUUUACUCUGCAGCACUGCAAUGUUUUGAACGCUUAAAAGCAGCCACCCAUAAAUAGUGAGAUUGAAGUACAGCUUGU